rnacentral:rRNA from 1 species
ACAAUGAAGAGUUUGAUCCUGGCUCAGGAUGAACGCUAGCUACAGGCUUAACACAUGCAAGUCGAGGGGCAUCAGGAAGAAAGCUUGCUUUCUUUGCUGGCGACCGGCGCACGGGUGAGUAACACGUAUCCAACCUACCCUUUACUCGGGGAUAGCCUUUCGAAAGAAAGAUUAAUACCCGAUAGCAUAAUGAUUCCGCAUGGUUUCAUUAUUAAAGGAUUCCGGUAAAGGAUGGGGAUGCGUUCCAUUAGGUUGUUGGUGGGGUAACGGCCCACCAAGCCUUCGAUGGAUAGGGGUUCUGAGAGGAAGGUCCCCCACAUUGGAACUGAGACACGGUCCAAACUCCUACGGGAGGCAGCAGUGAGGAAUAUUGGUCAAUGGGCGCUAGCCUGAACCAGCCAAGUAGCGUGAAGGAUGAAGGCUCUAUGGGUCGUAAACUUCUUUUAUAUAAGAAUAAAGUGCAGUAUGUAUACUGUUUUGUAUGUAUUAUAUGAAUAAGGAUCGGCUAACUCCGUGCCAGCAGCCGCGGUAAUACGGAGGAUCCGAGCGUUAUCCGGAUUUAUUGGGUUUAAAGGGAGCGUAGGUGGACUGGUAAGUCAGUUGUGAAAGUUUGCGGCUCAACCGUAAAAUUGCAGUUGAUACUGUCAGUCUUGAGUACAGUAGAGGUGGGCGGAAUUCGUGGUGUAGCGGUGAAAUGCUUAGAUAUCACGAAGAACUCCGAUUGCGAAGGCAGCUCACUGGACUGCAACUGACACUGAUGCUCGAAAGUGUGGGUAUCAAACAGGAUUAGAUACCCUGGUAGUCCACACAGUAAACGAUGAAUACUCGCUGUUUGCGAUAUACAGUAAGCGGCCAAGCGAAAGCAUUAAGUAUUCCACCUGGGGAGUACGCCGGCAACGGUGAAACUCAAAGGAAUUGACGGGGGCCCGCACAAGCGGAGGAACAUGUGGUUUAAUUCGAUGAUACGCGAGGAACCUUACCCGGGCUUAAAUUGCAGUGGAAUGAUGUGGAAACAUGUCAGUGAGCAAUCACCGCUGUGAAGGUGCUGCAUGGUUGUCGUCAGCUCGUGCCGUGAGGUGUCGGCUUAAGUGCCAUAACGAGCGCAACCCUUAUCUUCAGUUACUAACAGGUCAUGCUGAGGACUCUGGAGAGACUGCCGUCGUAAGAUGUGAGGAAGGUGGGGAUGACGUCAAAUCAGCACGGCCCUUACGUCCGGGGCUACACACGUGUUACAAUGGGGGGUACAGAAGGCAGCUACCUGGUGACAGGAUGCUAAUCCCAAAAGCCUCUCUCAGUUCGGAUCGAAGUCUGCAACCCGACUUCGUGAAGCUGGAUUCGCUAGUAAUCGCGCAUCAGCCACGGCGCGGUGAAUACGUUCCGGGCCUUGUACACACCGCCCGUCAAGCCAUGGGAGCCUGGGGUACCUGAAGUACGUAACCGCAAGGAUCGUCCUAGGGUAAAACUGGUGACUGGGGCUAAGUCGUAACAAGGUAGCCGUACCGGAAGGUGCGGCUGGAACACCUCCUUU